UUUAUGACUAAGAUAAGGAAUAGUAAAAUUUCAUUCUUUUCAAAGAGAAGAAACUAUUUGGUGAGAUGUUUCUAAAAGAAUACUUUUGAACCAGCCUUUGAGUUCUGUACUGAAAUUAUAGUAGGAUACAGCGGAUUUUACCGUUAUAAAUUUGAGAGAAUAUAUUAAUUUAAAUAUAUUAAUAAGGGUGGUACCACCGUAAGCUCGGUCCCUAUG
rnacentral:ncRNA from 1 species